CCGUCGCCAACUCCACGCCGGCGCCCGUCGCCCUGGCGACGCGAAGGAGCCCGACGCCACGGAGACGCCCGCGCCGAGAAGAGCGUCGCCGUCCCAGAGUGACGGACAGCUGUCACUCAGCCCCUCUCCCCCUCCGUGAAACAACCACAGAAUGAUGAAGAAACCAUUGAAUUAGCCCCGCCCAUAUUACCAGAAUAACCAUGAUAAUAAUAAUACCUGUUAUGAUGAUGAUGAUGAUGAUGAUGAUUGUGAUUUGAUGAAGGGUGAGCAUCCGGCGGCCGCCAUCUUGGGAAGAGUGGGCCACGCUCAGCGGAUAUUACUACUAUUAUUAUUGUUAUACUUAUUACGAUGUUUUAUUCUAUUUUUUCUGCUGUAGUAUUUGAACUUUGAUACGAGUCGAUGUCUCCCAUCUCCAUCCACCCCCCCCCCAGACCCCAACGCCCCUCCUAUUGGACCACCCCACCCGGUCCUGGUGCUGUGUCGGCCCCACCCCUGGGUGCCCCAGGGGGGCCCGGACCGCCGGCUCGGGAAGGAGGGGGGGGGCGGAGAGAGGCCCUGGGGGGGACCAGGAGCAUGGUCGCGUCCUGACUCAAACUCUGACACAGAACCACCUCCUCCUCCUCCCUGAAGCCCUCACCUCCUCUCUUCAGUCUCCUCCUCCUCCUCUCUUCAGUCUCCUCCUCCUCCCUGCAGCCCUCACCUCCUCUCUUCAGUCUCCUCCUCCUCCUCCUCUCUCCUCUCCUCCUCCUCCUCUCAUCCUCCUCCUCCUCCUCUCUUCAAUCUCAUCCUCCUCCUCCUCCUCUCUCUUCAAUCUCCUCCUCCUCCUCCAUCCUCCUCCUCCUCCUCUCUUCAGUCUCCUCCUCCUCCUCCUCUCUUCAGUCUCCUCCUCCUCCUCCUCCUCUUCUCUUCAGUCUCCUCCUCCUCCUCUCUUCAGUCUCCUCCUCCUCCUCUCUUCAGUCUCUUCCUCAUCCUCUUCCUCUCUUCAGUCUCCUCCUCCUCCUCCUCCUCAUCCCUUCAGCCCUCUCCCCCUCCUCAUCCCUUCAGCCCUCUCCCCCUCCUCCUCCUUCUCCUUGGCAGCCAUUUUGGUGCCCCCGUGCCUCCAUCUUAUCUCUGGGCUCCCUGUGCGGCGGGCGGUCGAUGGAGGGGAGGAGGAGGAGGAGGAGGAGGAGGAGGAGCAUUGAUUGGGAGGGAUAUUUCAUCCAGGGGGGUUCUGGGUUAAAAAUAGGCGUACCUCCUCCGCCUGCACUCCUCGCUCUCCAACGCAGAGCGCUGCCCCCGCACUCACACAUGAAGUCAUCAGGAGCGUUACGGUCGUUAAGACAGUGAUAAAUCCCUCGAUGGCGGCCGGACACCUCGCCACACGCCCCCCUGAUAAACCGUCCCGCCGUCUGUCUGACUCCAGGCGCUCUUAAUGGCCGCCUGUGUUUACGCUAGCAGACGUAUCUACCGUACACCAGCACUGGGACCCACCCACGGGGGCGCUUGUUUAACCCCGACUGAGCGGCGGAGGGGAGGUGCUUACCACCUCGGGGCUAGGUGCUAGGUGAGUUAUGGUCGGCGCUGGGUGAGUUAUGGUCGACAGGAUGGACUGGUGCGGUCUGGAAAUCCGAGCAGAUUCCCAAAACACAGUUUACAUAAAAGGCUGCGGGUCUGACCUCCUCUGACCAGAUCACACACGAGGAUCCUAUUCCUGUGAUGUUCCAGCAAUAUUCCCAUAAUACUCCCUGAAUGUUCCUGUAAUACUCCCAGAAGGAGGUUAAGCUGUCGGGGCCGGAACCAUAAAGAGACCCCUAUGUGAUCACUACCAACCUUUUGGAGACACGUUACCAUGGUCACGGUAGCAUUAUGGGAUGCCAUGGCCAUCCUGCAUGGGAGGAGACCCUCCAACCCCCCCCUUUCCCCCCUCCCCGCUAACAUGAUACAUACAUGUAGGUGUGCAUAUACCUGUACUACACCUGUGUACAUGUAGGAGUUUAUAUAGACCUGUAUAUAUAUGUAGGUGUGUAUACCGACCGAUAUACCGUGCGAGUGUGUAUACACAUCUACGUGCAUGCAGGUGUAUUAGGCUCUGGUGAUGUCACACACACCUAUGUGUAUGUAGAGCAUCAGAUCCCACCAGACUCAGAGGCUCCGCCCCUCUCAGCAGAAGCAUGUCGUGGUCUCGUCUUUUGGUCCAGUGGGGAACGAAACAAAAUGUUAUCCUUUUUGUUUUCAGUCCGCAACCAAUGGGCGACUGCAGUUGAUGUUGUCAUUCCAUGUCUCCAUGCCAACUGUCACUCAAAAACCACAGCAAAGACCACACACACAAAAAAAAGAAGAGAAAUUGGUGCAUUCAAAGUUCUAUGUACUUGUAUAAAUGGUGCAAUGGUAAUAAAAUGUACGAAAUCAAUAACCUGGAGAGCUUCUGUUGGGUUUGUCACUCGCACGCACGAAUGCACACACACAUGCAAACACACACGCUACACAUGCAAACAUACACACACAACACACACACACACACACACACACAAACACCUGAGUAGCACACACACACACACACACCAACACACACCUGAUUAGCACGCACACACAC
ensembl:lncRNA